ACCUACGGGGCGCAGCAGUAGGGAAUCUUCCACAAUGGGCGAAAGCCUGAUGGAGCAACGCCGCGUGGGUGAAGAAGGUCUUCGGAUCGUAAAACCCUGUUGUUAGAGAAGAAAGUGCGUGAGAGUAACUGUUCACGUUUCGACGGUAUCUAACCAGAAAGCCACGGCUAACUACGUGCCAGCAGCCGCGGUAAUACGUAGGUGGCAAGCGUUAUCCGGAUUUAUUGGGCGUAAAGCGAGUGCAGGCGGUUCAAUAAGUCUGAUGUGAAAGCCUUCGGCCCAAC
rnacentral:rRNA from 1 species